GGGGCAGUCCGACCUGUCGCUGCUUUGAUGCAGAGGAAAGUCCGGGCUUCGCAGAGAAAGAUGCUGGGUAGCUCCCAGACAAUCGGUUCGGCGUGUGCCGGUAGCUGAUUGCUAGAAAGUGCCACAGAAAAUAUACCGCCAGGCUGCACAGAGGGCAUUGCUGUUUGUGUGGUCGGGUAAGGGUGAAAUGGUGCGGUAAGAGCGCACCGCUCGUUUGGUGACAAGCGGGGCAAGGUAAACCUCAUCUGAAGCAAGAUCAAGCAAUAAUGGGGCUUCUCGCCUGCACACAUUAUGGGUAGAUCGCCGGACCUUGUCGGAGACGGCAAGGCCAGAUAAAUGACAGGAUAGAACAGAACCCGGCUUAUGGGGCUGCCCCUUUU
rnacentral:RNase_P_RNA from 1 species